AUUUGAUGGGAAUAAAACUACAACUUAAUUUGAAGUGGGAAUGCUGUUUUAACAGCAUUUACCCUAAUUUAAAACGGACAUAUUGAUUAAAAAUAAUAUAGUUCCCUGCCAAAAACCCUGUCAAUAAAAAAUUUUGGCAGGGAACAUUUUUA
rnacentral:sRNA from 1 species